UUGGAGGGCAAGUCUGGUGCCAGCAGCCGCGGUAAUUCCAGCUCCAAUAGCGUAUAUUAAAGUUGUUGCAGUUAAAAAGCUCGUAGUUGAACUUCGGAAUUUAUUCAUUGGUCAGGCUUAACUGUCUGUACUGGUGUGAUGAAUUCCUACCUUCUGAGGAAUCUUCAUGCCAUUCACUUGGUGUGGUGGGGAAUCAUGACUGUUACUUUGAAAAAAUUAGAGUGUUUAAAGCAGGCUAACGUCUGAAUACAUUAGCAUGGAAUAAUAAAAUAGGACGGCUUGGUUCUAUUUUGUUGGUUUCUAGGAUCACCGUAAUGAUUAAUAGGGAUAGUUGGGGGCAUUAGUAUUCAAUUGUCAGAGGUGAAAUUCUUGGAUUUAUUGAAGACUAACUACUGCGAAAGCAUUUGCCAAGGAUGUUUUCAUUAAUCAAGAACGAAAGUUAGGGGAUCGAAGACGAUCAGAUACCGUCGUAGUCUUAACCAUAGACUAUGCCGACUAGGGAUCGGACGAAGUUAAUUUUUAAAUGACUCGUUCGGCACCUUACGGGAAACCAAAGUGUUUGGGUUC
rnacentral:rRNA from 1 species